rnacentral:rRNA from 1 species
AGUGAACGCUGGCGGUAGGCCUAACACAUGCAAGUCGGACGAGUGGCGGACGGGUGAGCAAUAUAUCGGAAUCUCCUCUGUCGUGGGGGAUAACGUUGGGAAACUUACGCUAAUACCGCAUACGAUUCGAUGAGCCGAUGUCGGAUUAGCUUGUUGGCGGGGUAAAGGCCCACCUAGGCGACGAUCCGUAGCUGGUCUGAGAGGAUGAUCAGCCACACUGGAACUGAGACACGGCCCAGACUCCUACGGGAGGCAGCAGUGGGGAAUAUUGAACAAUGGGCGCAAGCCUGAUCCAGCCAUGCCGCGUGGGUGAAGAAGGCCUUCGGGUUGUAAAGCCCUUUUGUUGGGGAGGCGGUACCGAAAGAAUAAGCACCGGCUAACUUCGUGCCAGCCGCCGCGGUAAUUC